CACAUCUGCCUGGUCUUCUAAUUAAAGGGGCUGAAACCCAGUUUCAGGCAUAAAAAUGAUCACUGACAUCACAGUGCUUCAGAGAGUGUCAGUAAAGCUGAGGGAUAGCGCUGUGCUUACAAUGCAAACUGGGUGUCCUGUGUGGAAAACAAACAAAAAUUGUCAAAUAUCAAAUAUCUAAAAUACCAUCCUUCAUACAUUGUUAAUUUUGUUACAUUAAACUUUCCUCAUUCUAUUUAAUUGGGUAUUGAAUCACUUUUUUAAAUUCUUAAAUUCUUAGUAUUUCAAGCUUUUCUGGAGAAAUAAAAUGAAUGACAAGUACAGAAUUAAAAUAUAAUCCUUAGCAGGCGCGGUGGCUCACACCAGUAAUCCCAGCCCUUUGGGAGGCUGAGGUGGGAAGAUCAUGAGGUCAGGAGAUCGAGACCAUCCUGACUAACACAGUGAAACCCCAUCUUUACUAAAAAUAAAAUUAGCCGGGCAUGGUGGCGUGUGCCUGUAGUCCCAACUACUUGAGAGGUUGAGGCAGGAGAAUCACUUGAACCCAGGAGGCGGAGGUUGCAGUGAACUGAGAUUGUGCCACUGCACUCCAGCCUGGGUGACAGAGUGAGACUCUGUCUCAAAAUAAAUAAAUAAAUAAAUAAAUAAAUAAAUAAAUAAAAUAAAAUCCUCAAAUGAAUCAGCAUUCUAAUCCAUUUUCGAUUUUAGUAGUUGAGAAGAUGUCCCUUUUCAAAGCAUGCUGAAUGGAACCGAGCAACUCAGAUGUUCUACACUAACAGAAAAAUUAGUACUACCUUUGACUUCUGAUAGCCCUAAAAAACUAUACAGCUAUAUUGGAGGUGAGCAAGAAUUGCCAUGGACAUGGGCCUGCCUGGGAGGCUGAGUGGGCAAGAGUAACUUGUAACCAGAAGUGAGUAACUCUCCCUCCUUUCCCAUCUCACUGCUCUUUUCCCUCCACUCCUGUCUCCCUAAGUUUACACUCUCUAACAAAAGAGUAGCAUAUGCCAACACAGCCUUUGCUUUAUGGGGACCCAAAUUAAGACAACGGCAUUAAAAUUUAUUUUGCACCUUGCACUUGGGUUCACAGCCAAAGUGCAUUAAAAAAAUAGCAAAAUUGUGAUGUGAUAAUUAAACUCUCCUCUGUGUUAUUGAAGAGUUUCUUAUCUGGGUCAUGGUAAAACUGCAUCAUAACUGCAGUCUUAUGGGUCAUGUUAAAACGGCAUAUAUCUUCUCACAGAGAUGGAGACAUUUAUAACAUCUGCCUGGCAGCUUGCCCAUCCUUGAUUGCAAAAGGGAAUAAAAGCACCUUAGAGAGUAACAAAGAUGACAUGAAAUUUUGAAAGAGAAAAAGAGAGAUGGGAUUGAUUGAGAAAUAAUAUUCUCAUAAAAACUCA
rnacentral:lncRNA from 1 species